rnacentral:sRNA from 1 species
UCAAUCGUUUUCGGGAAGAAUUUUGUUU